GUAAAUCCCAUGGGGUAAAAGAAAAAAUGAGCAAAAAAUAGUGAAACACACCUGGCUCCGUACUGACGCAAACGCUGUGCCAUGUAUGAGACACUGAAGAGUUGCGGUUAACGGAUACCAACUCGAAGCAGUAUUUCUCGUGGAU
ensembl:ncRNA F09F9.9 ncRNA